rnacentral:rRNA from 1 species
CCUACGGGAGGCUGCAGUGAGGAAUAUUGGUCAAUGGACGAGAGCCUGAACCAGCCAAGCCGCGUGAAGGAUGACUGCCCCAUGGGUUGUAAACUUCUUUUAUAUGGGAAUAAAAUGUUCCACGUGUGGGAUUUUGUAUGUACCCUAUGAAUAAGGAUCGGCUAACUCCGUGCCAGCAGCCGCGGUAAUACGGAGGAUCCGAGCGUUAUCCGGAUUUAUUGGGUUUAAAGGGAGCGUAGGUGGAUGGUUAAGUCAGUUGUGAAAGUUUGCGGCUCAACCGUAAGAGUGCAGUUGAAACUGGCAGUCUAGAGAACAGUAGAAGUGGGCGGAAUGCGUGGUGUAGCGGUGAAAUGCUUAGAUAUCGCGAAGAACUCCGAUUGCGAAGGCAGCGCACUGGACUGCAACUGACACUGAGGCUCGAAAGUGUGGGUAUCAAACAGGAUUAGAUACCCGUGUAGUC